rnacentral:rRNA from 1 species
UACAGAGGGGGCAAGCGUUGUUCGGAAUUACUGGGCGUAAAGGGCGCGUAGGCGGCCUGCUAAGUCGAACGUGAAAUCCCCGGGCUCAACCCGGGAACUGCGUCCGAUACUGGCGGGCUUGAAUCCUGGAGAGGUGAGUGGAAUUCCGAGUGUAGAGGUGAAAUUCGUAGAUAUUCGGAAGAACACCAGUGGCGAAGGCGACUCACUGGACAGGUAUUGACGCUGAGGUGCGAAAAGCGUGGGGGAGCAAACAGG